rnacentral:tRNA from 1 species
GAGGAUAUGGCUCAAGUGGUAGAGAGCCUGCCUGGUGAGCUUAAGGCCCUGAGUUCAAAUCUCAGUACCUCCA